AUUGAACGCUGGCGGCAGGCCUAACACAUGCAAGUCGAGCGGAUGAUGGGAGCUUGCUCCUGGAUUCAGCGGCAGACGGGUGAGUAAUGCCUAGGAAUCUGCCUGGUAGUGGGGGACAACGUUUCGAAAGGAACGCUAAUACCGCAUACGUCCUACGGGAGAAAGCAGGGGACCUUCGGGCCUUGCGCUAUCAGAUGAGCCUAGGUCGGAUUAGCUUGUUGGUGAGGUAAUGGCUCACCAAGGCGACGAUCCGUAACUGGUCUGAGAGGAUGAUCAGUCACACUGGAACUGAGACACGGUCCAGACUCCUACGGGAGGCAGCAGUGGGGAAUAUUGGACAAUGGGCGAAAGCCUGAUCCAGCCAUGCCGCGUGUGUGAAGAAGGUCUUCGGAUUGUAAAGCACUUUAAGUUGGGAGGAAGGGUUGUAGAUUAAUACUCUGCAAUUUUGACGUUACCGACAGAAUAAGCACCGGCCAACUCUGUGCCAGCCGCCGCCGUAAGAC
rnacentral:rRNA from 1 species